UCUAAUAUGAUAUUGUCCGCUUU
rnacentral:snRNA from 1 species